rnacentral:lncRNA from 1 species
GUGACCCCAGACUUCCUGCAGCCAAGACUGAUGAAGUCUAAAUUAGUUGUUUACUAAUUAUAUUAUUAAACUCGAUAAUACAAAAUGUUUCUUAUCACAUCACAGUGCUACUUUAUACCGCUAUUUUGUUAUAAUAUAAAUUAUGUGUUUAAUAAUCUGAGAUCAAUUUCAUAGAUAAACACUUUUUUUCUAUUUUAUCUUCUUUAGCAAAUCCCAAAACACCACCUUUUUUCCCCACCUGCCUUAAGAGAUAUUCUGUUUUCUUCCUAUGGUAUGCUCUUGAGAUUUUUAAUGGCCUUCCAGCUUACCAUCUUCCACCCUCAAAACAUGAGGCAAUAGAAAAGAAAAAUAGGAAAUUUCCAAAAAGAAGCAACUCCUCAAAAUUAGACGUGUAAAACAGUCUUUGGUUUGUCUCGAUUUGGAGCCAGGAAGACCAUUUCCUUUGACCUUGCCCUGCUCCCCUACAUAAAUAGAUGGUACUUGUUCUUGACAAUGUAAGUGCAGGCAUAUAAAUUAAGGCUAGCUAUGUUUGCAAAAAUGCCCUCUUACCUCUUUUUCCCUUCCUGAAACAGUUGGCAAAAUCAAGUCUUUUAGAGCAUAGAAUUGCGACGAUGAAGCAGGAACAGAAAUCCUGGGAACAUCAGAGUGCGAGCUUAAAGUCACAGCUGGUGGCUUCUCAGGAAAAGGUUCAGAAUUUAGAAGACACCGUGCAGAAUGUAAACCUGCAAAUGUCCCGGAUGAAAUCUGACCUACGAGUGACUCAGCAGGAAAAGGAGGCUUUAAAACAAGAAGUGAUGUCUUUACAUAAGCAACUUCAGAAUGCUGGUGGCAAGGUGAUUUGUUCUUUUUUUAUUUAGGUAUAAGUUAUUUACAGUAAAGUAUACAAAUCUUAGGACAACUUGGUUAUUUUUAUGUGUAUAUGUAUGUACAUAUAAAUAUGCAUAUUUUAUGUAUCUGUGUUUGUAUAACCAUCACUUAGAUAAAAAUGUAGAACAUUUCCAGCACUCAGCAGGCUCUCUCUUGUUCCCUCCAGUUGGUAACCCCAAGGGAACCACUUUUGUACCCUCUGCCACUGUAGUUUAGGGAUGCUUUUUUCUAAAUUUCAUAUAAAUGAAACCAUAGUGAUAUAAAACAGGUCUUUUUUUUGUAUUGAGCAAGUCAGAAGACCAUGGCUGAGUUGAGUUUUGUAAUAACAAAACUAAAACAUUUUCUUAAAUGGUAGAGAAAAGUAUUUGUGUGACC